GGGUAGAGUAUUACAUGCACAUUAUACAGUUUUACAUACAGUUUUCAUUUUGGGGUUGUCGUGAAUUUUUGGGGGUCUCUUCCUCUUUUCUCUUUUGGCUCUCUUUUUCUCUGCAAGUUUUAGGGAGUUUUACAAUUGUUGGAAGGGAUGGAUUCAGCUGGAUUCGGUGGGCUUGCUGGAGGCUUAGGGAAGGCUCUUCUUGAAUUCAGUUGUGAUUACUCUGGUUUGAGACUUCCCUCGUUUCGAGUCUCCUGUUGCUUAUGUGAUGGAGAGGAUAUGUGUAUUUGAGCCAUAGCCAUGUCUGUUCUGAGUAAGAAUCCAUGCUCAUCGUGCAUAUGUUUUAUGAUGCUGAAACAUAGUGUUUCCAUUGGUACUAAAGUUAAGUUUUUAAUUUGGCUAAUUUGAAUCCCUGUCGCUUGAGCGACAGGAAGUUUAUGUAUUAAUGAAGUUGAAAAAACUUCGCGACAGGAAGUUUAUGUAUUAAUGAAGUUGAAAAAACUUCGCGACAGGAAGUUUAUGUAUUAAUGAAGUUGAAAAAACUUCGCUCGCGUGUA